rnacentral:rRNA from 1 species
GACGAACGCUGGCAGCGUGCUUAACACAUGCAAGUCGAACGGAAAGGCCCUGCUUUUGUGGGGUGCUCGAGUGGCGAACGGGUGAGUAACACGUGAGUAACCUGCCCUUGACUUUGGGAUAACUUCAGGAAACUGGGGCUAAUACCGGAUAGGAGCUCCUGCUGCAUGGUGGGGGUUGGAAAGUUUCGGCGGUUGGGGAUGGACUCGCGGCUUAUCAGCUUGUUGGUGGGGUAGUGGCUUACCAAGGCUUUGACGGGUAGCCGGCCUGAGAGGGUGACCGGCCACAUUGGGACUGAGAUACGGCCCAGACUCCUACGGGAGGCAGCAGUGGGGAAUAUUGCACAAUGGGCGGAAGCCUGAUGCAGCAACGCCGCGUGCGGGAUGACGGCCUUCGGGUUGUAAACCGCUUUCGCCUGUGACGAAGCGUGAGUGACGGUAAUGGGUAAAGAAGCACCGGCUAACUACGU